AUUGAACGCUGGCGGCAUGCCUUACACAUGCAAGUCGAACGGCAGCACGGGUGCUUGCACCUGGUGGCGAGUGGCGAACGGGUGAGUAAUAUAUCGGAACGUACCUUAUUGUGGGGGAUAACGCAGCGAAAGCUGUGCUAAUACCGCAUAAUCCCUAAGGGGGAAAGCGGGGGACCGUAAGGCCUCGCGCAAUUAGAGCGGCCGAUACCUGAUUAGCUAGUUGGUGAGGUAAAGGCUCACCAAGGCAACGAUCAGUAGCUGGUAUGAGAGGACGAUCAGCCCACCUGGGACUGAGACACGGCCCAGACUCCUACGGGAGGCAGCAGUAGGUAAUUUUGGACAAUGGGGGCAACCCUGAUCCAGCAAUGCCGCGUGAGUGAAGAAGGCCUUCGUGUUGUAAAGCUCUUUUGUCAGGGAAGAAACAGCAGCUCUAACACAGUAUGCGAAUGACGGUACCUGGAGAAUAAGCACCGGCUAACUACGUGCCAGCAGCCGCAGUAA
rnacentral:rRNA from 1 species